ACCUGGGUGGCUCAGUCGGUUAAGCAUCUGACUUCAGCUCAGGUCACGAUCUUGCAGUCCGUGGGUUCGAGCCCCGCAUCGGGCU
rnacentral:tRNA from 1 species